rnacentral:rRNA from 1 species
ACAUUAGAGUUUGAUCCUGGCUCAGAUUGAACGCUGGCGGCAUGCCUUACACAUGCAAGUCGAACGGCAGCACGGGAGCAAUCCUGGUGGCGAGUGGCGAACGGGUGAGUAAUACAUCGGAACGUGUCCUGUAGUGGGGGAUAGCCCGGCGAAAGCCGGAUUAAUACCGCAUACGACCUACGGGUGAAAGCAGGGGAUCGCAAGACCUUGCGCUAUUGGAGCGGCCGAUAUCAGAUUAGCUAGUUGGUGGGGUAAAAGCUCACCAAGGCGACGAUCUGUAGCUGGUCUGAGAGGACGACCAGCCACACUGGGACUGAGACACGGCCCAGACUCCUACGGGAGGCAGCAGUGGGGAAUUUUGGACAAUGGACGCAAGCCUGAUCCAGCCAUGCCGCGUGCGGGAAGAAGGCCUUCGGGUUGUAAACCGCUUUUGUCAGGGAAGAAAAGUCUGGGGCUAAUAUCCCCGGAUGAUGACGGUACCUGAAGAAUAAGCACCGGCUAACUACGUGCCAGCAGCCGCGGUAAUACGUAGGGUGCAAGCGUUAAUCGGAAUUACUGGGCGUAAAGCGUGCGCAGGCGGUUCUAUAAGACAGAUGUGAAAUCCCCGGGCUCAACCUGGGAACUGCAUUUGUGACUGUAGAGCUGGAGUACGGCAGAGGGGGAUGGAGUUCCGCGUGUAGCAGUGAAAUGCGUAGAUAUGCGGAGGAACACCGAUGGCGAAAGGCAA